AGGACGAACGCUGGCGGCGUGCUUAACACAUGCAAGUCGAGCGGAAAGGCCCUUCGGGGUACUCGAGCGGCGAACGGGUGAGUAACACGUGAGUAAUCUGCCUUCAGCUCUGGGAUAGCUCCGGGAAAACCGGGAUUAAUACCGGAUAUGACCACUUCGGACAUCUGUUGUGGUGGAAAGUUUUUCGGCUGGAGAUGAGCUCGCGGCCUAUCAGCUUGUUGGUGGGGUAAAGGCCUACCAAGGCGACGACGGGUAGCCGGCCUGAGAGGGCGACCGGCCACACUGGGACUGAGACACGGCCCAGACUCCUACGGGAGGCAGCAGUGGGGAAUAUUGCGCAAUGGGCGGAAGCCUGACGCAGCGACGCCGCGUGGGGGAUGAAGGCCUUCGGUUGUAAACCCCUUUCAGCAGGGACGAAGCGAAAGUGACGGUACCUGCAGAAGAAGCGCCGGCUAACUACGCGCCAGCAGCCGC
rnacentral:rRNA from 1 species